GACGAACGCUGGCGGCGUGCUUAACACAUGCAAGUCGAACGGAAAGGCCCUGCUUGCAGGGUGCUCGAGUGGCGAACGGGUGAGUAACACGUGGGUGAUCUGCCCCUUACUUUGGGAUAAGCCUGGGAAACUGGGUCUAAUACUGGAUAGGACCAUGCUGUAGGUGGUGUGGUGGAAAGAUUAGUUUCGGUAGGGAUGAGCUCGCGGCCUAUCAGCUUGUUGGUGGGGUAAUGGCCUACCAAGGCGUCGACGGGUAGCCGGCCUGAGAGGGUGGACGGCCACAUUGGGACUGAGAUACGGCCCAGACUCCUACGGGAGGCAGCAGUGGGGAAUAUUGCACAAUGGGCGCAAGCCUGAUGCAGCGACGCCGCGUGGGGGAUGACGGCCUUCGGGUUGUAAACUCCUUUCAGCCAUGACGAAGCCCUUGUGGUGACGGUAGUGGUAGAAGAAGCACCGGCUAACUACGUG
rnacentral:rRNA from 1 species